UCAUCCGGCACAGGAUCAUUUCUGUCUGCUGGUCUGGACUCGUAUACAAAUGAUGGGUCGCCUUCGAAUCUACCCUUAGCUGUUUUGGCCACAUCCUCAAUCAUUGCAGUUGUGGUUGCGGGGAUUAGAAACCAGUCGAUGCAGUUGAAGCUAAACCCCCACAAAACAAUGAAUUAGACUAAAGUUUUUUUUUCUUUUUAAUGACAUUUAACGACUGAGUUACCUGUAAAAAUGCUGCGUAUCCUUCAACUCAUCAUCCCUUCGCCCCUGAGCGAUGAAAUAGUGCUCCUUCAGACCGAGUAUUUUCCCCCAAAAUAGCACUCUAUUGAAUUUGUAGUUCUUCUUUAGGAUAAUCAGUGAAGUUUGAAGAGCUGCUCUUUGCUCCGAAUUCAAAAUGCACCCGCUACCCGCAACCAGCUCCAACGAGUAGGAUAACGAAUUAGCGUCCAUUGCUAUUAUUAUUAUUAGCACUGUCCGUCACGUUAGCUCACUAGCUAACUUGAAAACGCUUCCGUGCAGGGAAUUUGGUCGUGGGAAGGUCAAUGAAUGCACUUUUCCACAAAUUAUCUAAAGGUUCGUUUUAGGAUUUUGAAUUGGUUUUCUAUGUACUGCGUAACUUUUAGACGUUCGAUCUGAGUAGAGCGUUGACUUUCUGGUUGCCACGGUAACUUGUAUACAAACCAUUGAUUGGUGAGUGCGGAGCAGUUGUCACAUGACUUGUCUUCGUCCAAUCACGUCAUUCCAAGCGUGUGGCGCCCGCAUUUUAGAAUGGCGCUGAUUAGAAUGACAAAUGACAACAAGCUAAACGUAAGUAAAACUAUUAUUUGGAAGAGACCAACUACGAUGUUGCUGUAAUGUCUUUGUGGUUUUUCUACAUAAACGGUAAGCUUUUCACUUUAAUACAUGUAAUAUUUGAAGUAUUUCAGCCAGUUUUAAUUGUAUCACGUGACGUUCCUCGCUCCAAUCAGGUGACAGAAUUAAUGCAGAACCUGAAGGUAACCGUAUGCAGCAAUUACAAACUUUUUAGCAUUUUUUAACGAUAACAAACAGCUAAUAUUACUCGUUGUCUUAAAAUUUGAGGUUUCACGCCCUCUUGUUUGUCCCACUUAUUAUUUUUAACCUGAUGUAGUGCUCUUCUCAACAAUAAUACAAGAACAUGACCAAAUAACCUAGGUAACGUCAAGGAAUAUUGGGUAAAAAUUUCAACUAGGUAAAAAGUCAAUUGAACUAGUGGAUUUAAAGAAAACAGACAUAUUAUCCAAUAUACUGCGUGGCAUCCUAAUUGUUUACCCUUUUGUUUGUAGAAUCUGUUUCGGAAAAGAACCAGGGGAGGCCUUUACACAUGAUACUUCAGUAAUUACAAUCCAUGGCACAGAGUUUAAGAUGGUGGACAAGGGAGGAAGGGGGCAGCUGAUGACCAUCUGUACUGUUUUGAUCACCCUCUGCAGUCUUCUACCUGCUUCUGUGCAGCUUGAGUGCCACACUGGCACAGCAUAAGUCAGCAGACUCUUAAUGGAUGACUGGUCGAAGGUCACCAGCAGGAGAGGUCAGCAGAGAUAUGGACCCCAAGGAAUUUGAAGGACACCGAUUGCUCCACGUUUUCGUUGUUGAAGUACAGGGGAGCAGAAGCUGUUUUGUGCCGUUGGAAGACCAGGGUGAAUUUGU